CGGGACGGGUGAGUAAUGUCUGGGAAACUGCCUGAUGGAGGGGGAUAACUACUGGAAACGGUAGCUAAUACCGCAUAACGUCGCAAGACCAAAGAGGGGGACCUUAGGGCCUCUUGCCAUCGGAUGUGCCCAGAUGGGAUUAGCUAGUAGGUGGGGUAACGGCUCACCUAGGCGACGAUCCCUAGCUGGUCUGAGAGGAUGACCAGCCACACUGGAACUGAGGCACGGUCCAG
rnacentral:rRNA from 1 species